rnacentral:misc_RNA from 1 species
AACGCACAUUGCGCCCUUUGGCAUUCCGAAGGGCAUGCCCGUUCGAGCGUCAAUAAGACCCAUCAAGCCUGGCUUGGUAUUGGGCGUCGGGCUAAUCACCCGCGCCUCUAUUCUCUCGGCUGGACGGUUAGAAUCUCAGCGUUGUGCAAUCAAUUCGCUAGGGAGGAUCGCCAGACGCGCCGUUAAAACCUCUAAAAGUCUGACCUCGGAUCGGGUAGGGAUACCCGCUGAACUUAA